rnacentral:lncRNA from 1 species
AGACCUCAAAUCCUAAUGAUUUAUUUAACAAAACUGUUGCAUCUCCCAAACUACUAAGGACACAGUAACUAGGGACUAUUGCAACUUCAUUUACUCCACAGAGAACUACUGAGCAUUUCUGACGAACCAGGCUCUGUGCCAGGGAUACGUGAGUAAUCACGACACUACACUGUGGCUUCCAUUUCUUUGUAAAAGAGGAGCAUAAGGCUGAAUGAGACUGUAUAUAUCCGAGAUGAUACCCAUACCCCACAGAAAAUCAGCGUGGAUGCAUGUCUGAGGGGUUGGAGGGUAGGGAAGGAAAUCUACAAUUUUAUCCUCUAAUCAUCGUGUAGUGUGACAUCCUCCACAGAAUAAACCCACCAUCACUCCACCUUAUGUCACUGGACCUCUACUGUGGGCCAGGGGUAUAAGAAAGAAUAAGACAAAAUCCUGUUCUUCAGAAGCUCACAGUCUAGCUACGUACAUGAAGUCCUAUAUCACUGUUCCAGGCUCUAAAUUGUCAAAUGUUAUCACUGCUUAGAAAUGGAUCAGAAAGGCUUCCUUUUCAGAGUCUCGCUGAAAACGUAAAAGACCCUAAAGUGAGAUCAUUUGACUUAAAAUGCUGGUAACAGUAAGCAUUUCUCUUUGCCACUGCUUCUGCCACCAAGGAUUCUGCUUACUCCAUUAAUAUAGUUGCCUUCUGAAUUCUCCUAACUAGAAACGAAUACUUACUGCACGUGGUGAUUUCACAGAGGGUGGUCCUCUCCAGAUCCUAACUGCCUGUGGUUAGCUACCAUGCAGAUGCUGGGCUGUGCCUUUGUUUUACAUUUACACAUUCCCGGUGUGGUGUUUGUGUCAGAUUCUUCUCAUGCUCUAAGAUGACGCUAUGGAUAAUUUUUUUUAAACUAAGCAUCUAUAUUGGACAACACUGAAAUAGGACCACCAGUCUUUCUGAUGCACAGUACAGUAGAAUCAGGUAUCAUUCACUCAUUUGCUUAUCCAUUCGUUCAACAUUUAAUGAACACCUACUAAAUAUCAGACUAUGCAAGGGACUCCAAGGAAUACAAAACAUGAUUCCAUCCUAUAGGAACAAAGUAAGACAGGAGCCAGAACUAUUAAGAGAGCUCAAGUGAAAGCCUGGAAUUCCUCCUGGAUAGUUUAAGGUACACUGGCUAUGUUUUAUUUUUCAAGAAUUUUAGAACUUAUGGGAAUUUCAUUUUGAUCAUAUUCAGUGAUGCUCUUUGAAAUCAUUCAGUUAAGCUUGAUCAUUGUGUUUAGGGGGAUUUCCUGCCAUUUCUCAUCUUCUCUCACUUAAGGACCAACCUUCUACUUGGCAGUCUACUUGUAGAACAACGACUUUCAGUUCAGUGAACAUUUACUGUGUGACUCAGGGUGCCAGGACUCCCAAACCAGGUUCCUGAGCCAUCAGUGUCCCUGAGAGGAGAAGAGGGGAGAUUUGGUGCCAAUAUGGAGCAAGGGUCAACUUCUCCCAAGAGGCCAAAAAUAUUGUGAUGAAAGAGAAAGAAGAUUCUCAAUGAUAUUUUCUCUUAAGCAUUGCGAAAAUUAACCCUAAAGCAUUUCUGAAUUUAAAACUCUUGGUACCACCACUCCCAUUUGCCUGUAAGUGCUGGUGAGCAAUAGCAUGAAGGAAUAAUUAUCAAAUAAAUACCACAGGAAAUAAUUAAAUAUGAUUUCUUCUAAAUCCUUUAUGUAUUAUUUGAGACAAAAGCCAAACUUUCACAGUUAACUUAAAAAAAAAAAAAAAAAAAAAGGAAUAAACAGGCCAGAUUUUCAUUGUGUUUUGACUGGUUCCAGGUAGCCUGACACUUGCUGAACAAGGAUGGCCACGGCUUUUCUAGAAUGUGGACAUCUCAUUCUCCUCCCCUUCCUCCUUUACUUUCUUGUCAUCCAGGAAAGAUCACUCUCAUUUGGCUAACAUGUGCUAUUAGCAAAAAGCUACACUAUUGCUAUUUUUCUCAAUAGUCCUACAAGGUAGGCAUUAUUUCCAUUUUAUAGACAAGAAAAUUGAGACGCAAGGUUAUCUUCUGGUGGAUGACAGAGCCUGGAUUAAAACCCAGGUGACUCCAAAGACCAUACUCUUUCCAUCAUGCUCCCGAGCCACAGAGCUACAGUGGUGGUCCCCAGAGCUCUGAUGUUGGGAGCACCUCCCCUUCUCCCUGUUUCAUUUCAAGGACAUGAUCUUGACUUGGGAUGAACACAAAAACAAGAGAAAAUGGUAGCCGGUGAGUCACCAGACCCUUCUCUGACUCCUACGUCAAUGCAUCUAUUUAGCUCAGGCCUGUAGGCUUGGCUAUAAUUCCCUACCUACUUGCUUAAAACAAACUGGAAAAUGAGGAAAUCGUUCACCAACUUUCCCUAUAGAACUUUCAUGGGUACAUAUCCAUGUUUCACAAACAUACCACUGUCCACUUAAAAAUGCAUGGGCUCUGUGUGGAAACCGAUUUGCUAGCUCCUCAAAAAGGUAAACAUAAAAUGACUAUGUGAGCCAGCAAUUCCACUCCUAAGUGUAUAUCCCAAAGAAGUGAAAACAGGGACUCAAACAGAGACUCACAGAGGAAUGUUCACAGCAGCAUUAUUCUCAAUGGCCAAAAGGUGGAAACCACUAAGCCAGCACAGAGCACACAUCCCAGCCCCUUCUGGGCUUCGUUUGAUUUCUCCCUUUCCUUGCUCUCCUCACUUCCUUAUCUCGGCUUGCUGUGCGAUACAUAUUGUUUUCAAGGUCCUCAAACUUUCUUUUAGCACAAGAUAGAGGCACAGACAAAUUAGUAACAUCCUUUUAGUGUGUUCUGGGUAUACUCUACUUGCCUCUGCGGAGGGCAGGGAGCAUACAACACCACAAAACAUCCUAAAUCUCUCCAUUUUGGGCUGCUCUUAGGCUGAGUCAACGGAAAUCUGCUUCCUUACCACGUUGCGACAAGUUGGCACCCAAAGUCAGGUUCCUGCAUGCAGACUUGAAUUUCUUCUACUCAGAAGACUUCAAAGUAAAGUGUUAUCCAAGCUUUAUUCAAAGAUGUUUAGUGCAAUAUUUUGUAAAUAUUUUUUCUAUUUUCUGUUAUACUAAAAACAUAUACAGUUUGUUUGUUUUUAAAAAACCAUAAUCUCAAAAUACUGGAAACAAUCUAAAUGUCCAGUAUGAUAGAGUGGUUACGGAAAUUACGGUAGCUGUACUUGAUAGAAUAUUCUGCAGCUAUCUAAAAAAGCCAAGGCUGUAAUGUUAAAUGGAGGAGAAACAAAUUUUUAACUUAGAUUUGAUAGUAACUAUGUAGAUAGUCUUCAUAAAGAAAAAUAAUUAGCAAGAAUUUACAAAAGGUAGUUGAGGUAGUUGUGUUCAUUCAAUUGAAGUAUAGUGAUAUUUUAGUUUUUCUAGUUUGUAAAUAUUUUUUCUAUUUUCCGUUAUACUAAGACCAUAUACAGUUUGUUUGUUUUUAAAAAACCAUGAGAUCAAUGGUGUUACUCAAACAGGAGACAGAUAUAUAUGGUAUUUUUCUGACCUGCUCUAACACAGCCUCGUCUGUUCAUGCUUGAAAGCCAGGCUAUCAAUCUGCUUUUAUCUUAACUUCUCUGUCUUCAAGGGGUUUUAGGUGGAUAAAUAUGACUCAGCAGAAUCAAGUGCAAAAUCAGGGGCUGUAAGAUGGAUGAUGCCAGCGUACCCAUGGCUGACUCUGGAAGCUGGUCCUCCUGGGAAGGACUAAGCAAGCUGGCCAGGAGGAGCUGCCUACUGCCUGCACAGCCUGCUUUGCGGCUCUGACAUCAACUAGCUUUACCGUCCCCACCUCAGCCGUCGCUCCCUGUGGGCAGGGGCUGUUCUCCAUUCAUAAUGGGGAAGCCCAACCAGCAGAAUGCCCCAGAGAGAGCCGCGCAAGCUUGUUGAACAAACAACUCAUGGUGGGCCAUCUACCCUGGCCUUUCCACAGCUACUGGCACAGAACAGAAUGCACGUUGGAGCACCAAUCUCCAUCAGUUUUGCUCUUUGAGCUAACAUUUAUCAGGGACUAUGGGCCAGAUAUGGUAAAAGCACCUUCACAUGUGCUGCUUUAAGAUGACUCCACAUAGCACGAGCUAUGAAAGAAGAAACUAUGGACAGAAAAAAGGAUGUAAUUAAAGCACACAAUUCUAUUUUUGAAAGUGCUUUAAAACUGAGGCCACUGUGCUAAGAAACGUCUUCCAAAGAGAGGAUGCUGGUUAGUCUUAUUCAGAUUUCAAGAUGAUAUAAUUUUAAACAAAAGAGUGAGGAAAAAUAAGACUCUUUUUAAAAUUCAUUUGGUCUCCCGAGGAGGGAGAAAGGGGACCAUUCGCAGCAAAUUCAGGACCCACACUGCUAUACACAUCCUCCAAAAGUUGCAAUCUUCUACCCAGCAGAGAAAGGAUCCUUGGCCUAGCAAUUAAAAUCAUUUCUUUCAUCCCCUUCUUGCCAAAAAGGACCCCAGCCCUAACUAGUUAAUCCCUAACACACACUGCUACUCCCAGAGUUGCCUGGCAACUGCUAGGAGGCGUGUCAGAGAGCAAGAAAGGCCUAAAUAAAUGAGCUAGAGCCUGAGCUGCCGCUUGACACGGAUAAAGGGGGUUUUUCCGAAUGGGGCUGCCUGGCUGCUUGUGGAUCUGUCAUUUAAGUGGAGAAGAACAAGUUGGCUUGGCUGAUAUUGUUAAAUAUCUUGGGCUUUGUACCUCAUAUUCUCCAGGUGACUGAAAAAUGGGUCACAUGCCCUUGUGAUUUGCUGACACUCUCCCCUCUGCCAGGCAGCGCCAACCUCCAAAGCCUAAAGACAAGACAGGAUAUAAUGUGUACGCACUGAACAGAGGCCCAGGGCCAACCCCGGCAUCACACACUUCUCUGUUUGUUCAUUUCUCUCACCCAUCCUUCCAUCCACUGUUCCAAAUACAUGCACUGAUGCCUUCGCUCUGCCAUGACCCGGGCCCGGUGCUAGAAAUGCAGAGCGGGUUGUUAACGUGAAACACGAGGCAACCAGAACAAAGACGGGCAAGUGGUGUGGUGGAAGAAGCUUGGGUUUUCAAGUCAGGCCGACCUGAGUCUGAUUCCUGGCUCUGACACUUGCCAAGAAGUCAGGGGCAACCUCAGCCACUCUCCCCAAUCUGUAACAUGGACAGCAACGAGCUCAUGGGGAAUCUCUGAGACCACAGAUGCCAACAAGGGGGGUGACCUUGGGGAAGGCCACUGAACAGGUAGGAGACUUGCAGCUGGAUACCCUCAGGUCUCACUUUCUGAUCCUUGGGACGAGUAACCCACCUGGCCCUGAAGAGACCCUGCCAGGGAGCCCACACAGACCUUCUGGCCCUGGGACAGGCACACAGCAGAAGGCACGGGUGGAGUGGGGCAGCCUGAUGCCUGGCAUGUGGCUGGGACUCAGCCAGGGGGGUGCCUUCCUCUUCCCUUCCAGGCAGGGGAAAGAAAAUGAAGUUUGGGACUCCCUAGCCAGCUGCAUUUUGAAUUUUUUCCAGUAGGAGAGGGAAAAUGAAAAAAAAAAAAAAAAAAAAAAAAA